UACGUAGGGGCCUAGCGUUGUCCGGAUUUAUUGGGCGUAAAGAGCUCGUAGGCGGUUUGGUGAGUCGGGUGUGAAAUCUCCACGCUCAACGUGGAGGGGCCACCCGAUACUGCCAUGACUAGAGUCCGGUAGGGGAGUGUGGAAUUCCCGGUGUAGCGGUGAAAUGCGCAGAUAUCGGGAGGAACACCAGUAGCGAAGGCGGCUUUCUGGCCCGUUCUUGACGCUGAGGCGCGAAAGCUAGGGUAGCAAACGGG
rnacentral:rRNA from 1 species